GCCGUCAAUUGGGGAGUAGCCGAUUUCCAGACUCCGGAAAUGUACGCGUCAACAUACUCGUUGCAAAACGUGGCGCGUACGGACCAGCCGCCGCUGGUCAGGCGAGACCAUAGGCGCAUCA
rnacentral:misc_RNA from 2 species